rnacentral:sRNA from 1 species
CUUUUAUAGUUGGAUUCAUCAGCACUUCCCUAAAAUGGAAAGGAGACAUCUAUUGUAAAAUUAUGAUGAAGAUAGACUUCGAGCCGCACGUUGGGUGACAGGGAAGCAAGUUUCAAACCUAUUGGAGGCCAAGAACAAUAUUUUAUCCCUAUGUAAUUCCUACUGUCAGCGAGACUGAUCGAGUCUUUCACCUCAACUUCGAUAACAUCUUCCAUAUGACAUUGUAGUUCAUCGUGGAUCACCGUUAGAAUCUGGUUUGUUGUUAUGUAACUGUUGAUAGGGGGAGCACAAUAGGAAUAAAUCUAUAAGAAUUUGUGUUGCAAUCUAAAAGAGAAAGAAGUGGUUGAUUUGCGUGGCCAUGAUAAAG